rnacentral:rRNA from 1 species
UACGGGGGGGGCAAGCGUUGUUCGGAUUCAUUGGGCGUAAAGGGUGCGUAGGUGGCGCCGUAAGUCGGGUGUGAAAUUUCGGAGCUUAACUCCGAAACUGCAUUCGAUACUGCGGUGCUUGAGGACUGGAGAGGAGACUGGAAUUCAUGGUGUAGCAGUGAAAUGCGUAGAGAUCAUGAGGAAGACCAGUGGCGAAGGCGGGUCUCUGGACAGUUCCUGACACUGAGGCACGAAGCCAGGGGGAGCAAACGGG